rnacentral:rRNA from 1 species
UACGGAGGGUGCAAGCGUUAUCCGGAUUCACUGGGUUUAAAGGGUGCGUAGGCGGGUAAGUAAGUCCGUGGUGAAAUCUCUGAGCUUAACUCAGAAACUGCCGUGGAUACUAUUUGCCUUGAAUAUUGUGGAGGUGAGCGGAAUAUGUCAUGUAGCGGUGAAAUGCUUAGAUAUGACAUAGAACACCAAUUGCGAAGGCAGCUUGCUACACAAUGAUUGACGCUGAGGCACGAAAGCGUGGGGAUCAAACAGG